rnacentral:misc_RNA from 1 species
GAUGAAGAACGCAGCGAAAUGCGAUACGUAAUGUGAAUUGCAGAAUUCAGUGAAUCAUCGAGUCUUUGAACGCACAUUGCGCCCCCUGGUAUUCCGGGGGGCAUGCCUGUCCGAGCGUCAUUGCUGCCCUCAAGCACGGCUUGUGUGUUGGGCCUCCGUCCUCCUCCCGGGGGACGGGCCCGAAAGGCAGCGGCGGAACCGCGUCCGGUCCUCGAGCGUAUGGGGCUUCGUCACCCGCUCUUGUAGGCCCGGCCGGCGCUUGCCGACACAUCAAUCUUUUUUCCAGGUUGACCUCGGAUCAGGUAGGGAUACCCGCUGAACUUAAGCAUAUCAAUAAGCGGAGGA